CCCAGGCUGGAGUGCAGUGGCAUGAUCUCAGCUCACUGCAACCUCCGCCUCCCAGGUACAAACGAUUCUCACGCCUCAGCCUCCCAAGUAGCUGGGAUUACAGGCACGCACCACUACGCCCAGCUAAUUCUUCGUAUUUGUGGUAGAGAUGGGGUUUCGCCAUGUUGUCCAGGCUUGUCUUGAACUCCUGAGGUCAGGCAAUCCGCCCAACUCAGGCUCCCAAAGUGCUAGGAAUACAGGUGUGAGCUACUGCGCCUGGCCUGGCCUCCAUAAGGUAUUCUUUAAAGCAAUACAACAAUCUUUAAUGCCCAUUUUAUAAGGUGAGAUAUUACAUGUUUUGCAAUUAUGCAAACUUAAAAUGAAAAUGUCUAGGUGUCAGUUUAGAAAUCUGUGAAGGGAUAAAAAAGUUUUUCCAAAAUUCUUUUGUAGGUCGUGCCAGCAAAUCCGUGUGAAUGCCACUGGAUUAAAAGAAGGAAGUUUAGUUGAAUGGUUACUACCCUCAUUCACAGGAGCAGUUAUCGGCACUUCCACUGAGGCAAUGGCAGUGGGAAAAGGAAGGCAAAUAUUUAUUCACCCAUCCAUAAACUCAUAAAAGAGUGAGCUGAUGAACUGAACACAAGUUUUGGUGUAAUCAACAAGCUGCCUGGAAUAUGCAUGAACUGCCCUAAUUUUACAGAUGCCUUUACUUCUGAAAGCAUCUUCUGGGAGAGCUUAGCCUUUUCCCUAAGUUUGGAUUUGAAAGCAAGCAGAAUGGAAAUAAGUCCGUGUUGUUCACAUGUGCUUUAGUUUUUGUGCACUUAAAAGUUUUUAAAGAACUUUUUUAAAAAAAAACCUUCUAAUAUAAAUCUUUUGUAAAAGUAAUACUUAAAAGAAAAUGUUUAAUGAUUUAAAAAAAUCUUAGAGAAAAGAGCCUCCCAUUACAUUUUUUUUUUUCUUUUUCUGAGACGGAGUCUCACUCUGUCACUCAGGCUGGAGUGCAGUGGCGCAAUCUCGGCUCCCUGCAACCUCCGUCUCCUGGGUUCACGCAACUCCCCUGCCUCAGCCUCCCGAGUAGCUGGGAUUACAGGCACCCACCACCACGCCCAGCUAAUUUUUGUAUUUGUAGUAGAGAUGGGGUUUCACCAUGUUGGCUAGGUUCGUGGUCUUAAACUCCUGACCUGGUGAUCCACCCACCUCGGGCCCCCAAAGUGCUGGGAUUAUAGGCGUGAACCACCACGCCCGGCCCUCCCAUUACAUUUCUAAAAAAUAUUUGCACAAUUAAAAUAUCUAUGUGGGCUGGGUGAAGUGGCUCAUGCCUGUAAUCCCAGCACUUUGGGAGGCCAAGGCGGGCAGUUCAAGACCAGGCUGGCCAACAUGGUGAAACCCCGUCUCUAGGAAAAAUACAAAAAUUAGCAGGGUGUGGUGAUGUGCAGGUGUAAUCCCAUCUACUCAGGAGACUGAGGCACGGAUCCCUUGAACUCAGGAGGCAGAGGUUGCAGUGAGCUGAUAUUGCACCACUGCACUCCAGCCCAGGUGACAGAGCAAGAUUCUGUCUCAAAACAAAGCAAAACAAAACUCCAUGCACAUUGGUAUUAUAUUUUAAUUUUUUUAAAUGCAUAUGGACCUCCUUCUGAUUUUUAAUGUCUUGAAAGUAAACACUCUUAUUCAUUCCAUAUAAAGUAGUAUUUUGAAAUAAUAUCUCAAUUGACAUAAAAUACAUGUUACAAUGAGAAAAUUAUGAGCCAUAUUAACAUUGUGUGAAUAAUUGUAAAUGAACUCAUCACAUUUUGAAAACGCCCCUUGAAGACUAGUGUAUUUGUCUGUUCUUACACUUCUAAUAAAGACAUACCUAAUGAGAGGUGACAGCAUGCUGGCUGCCCUCACAGCCCUCGCUGGCUCUUGGCGCCUCCUCCGCCUUGGCGCCCAC
rnacentral:lncRNA from 10 species